rnacentral:rRNA from 1 species
AUUGAACGCUGGCGGCAUGCCUUACACAUGCAAGUCGAACGGCAGCACGGGUGCUUGCACCUGGUGGCGAGUGGCGAACGGGGGAGUAAUACAUCGGAACAUGUCCUGUAGUGGGGGAUAGCCCGGCGAAAGCCGGAUUAAUACCGCAUACGAUCUACGGAAGAAAGCGGGGGACCUUCGGGCCUCGGGCUUUAGGGUUGGCUGAUGGCUGAUUAGCUAGUUGGUGGGGUAAAGGCCUACCAAGGCGACGAUCAGUAGCUGGUCUGAGAGGACGACCAGCCACACUGGGACUGAGACACGGCCCAGACUCCUACGGGAGGCAGCAGUGGGGAAUUUUGGACAAUGGGCGAAAGCCUGAUCCAGCAAUGCCGCGUGUGUGAAGAAGGCCUUCGGGUUGUAAAGCACUUUUGUCCGGAAAGAAAUCCUUGGCCCUAAUACGGUCGGGGGAUGACGGUACCGGAAGAAUAAGCACCGGCUAACUACGUG